CAGCACGACACCACGGAAGACAUAGCCAAGGCGUUCACCACUUUUUACGCUGACCUUUAUAACUUGACCCCCCCGAAGACACAACCACAUACCCUGCGGGACUAUAUCUCUGACAACAUAUCUUGCAAGAUCCCAGUAGACCAGAUCCAUGCACUGGACGAACCUUUCUCACACGCAGAACUACUCUCCACAAUUAAAACACUCCCGAACGGUAAAAGCCCUGGUCCAGACGGACUUGUCAGUCCGUCUGGA